rnacentral:rRNA from 1 species
CACGUAGGGGGCGAGCGUUGUCCGGAUUUAUUGGGCGUAAAGAGCUCGUAGGCGGCUCAGUAAGUCAGGUGUGAAAACUCCAGGCUCAACCUGGAGACGCCACUUGAUACUGCUGUGGCUAGAGUCCGGUAGGGGAGUAUGGAAUUCCUGGUGUAGCGGUGAAAUGCGCAGAUAUCAGGAGGAACACCAGUGGCGAAGGCGGUGCUCUGGGCCGGAACUGACGCUGAGGAGCGAAAGCGUGGGGAGCAAACAGG